UUUAAUGUUAUAUAAAAUAAUCUUAUCUGGUAAAGCGAAUGAUUAGAGGCCUUAGGGUCGAAACGAUCUUAACCUAUUCUCAAACUUUAAAUGGGUAAGAACCUUAACUUUCUUGAUAUGAAGUUUAAGGUUAUGAUAUAAUGUGCCCAGUGGGCCACUUUUGGUAAGCAGAACUGGCGCUGUGGGAUGAACCAAACGUAAUGUUACGGUGCCCAAAUUAACAACUCAUGCAGAUACCAUGAAAGGCGUUGGUUGCUUAAAACAGCAGGACGGUGAUCAUGGAAGUCGAAAUCCGCUAAGGAGUGUGUAACAACUCACCUGCCGAAGCAACUAGCCCUUAAAAUGGAUGGCGCUUAAGUUGUAUACCUAUACAUUACCGCUAAAGUAGAUGAUUUAUAUUACUUGUAAUAUAAAUUUUGAAACUUUAGUGAGUAGGAAGGUACAAUGGUAUGCGUAGAAGUGUUUGGCGUAAGCCUGCAUGGAGCUGCCAUUGGUACAGAUCUUGGUGGUAGUAGCAAAUAAUCGAAUGAGACCUUGGAGGACUGAAGUGGAGAAGGGUUUCGUGUGAACAGUGGUUGAUCACGAGUUAGUCGGUCCUAAGUUCAAGGCGAAAGCCGAAAAUUUUCAAGUAAUAAAAUGACUAUAUAUUACAAAAAUGCCAAUUAAUAUACUUGAAUAAUUUUGAACGAAAGGGAAUACGGUUCCAAUUCCGUAACCUGUUGAGUAUCCGUUUGUUAUUAAAUAUGGGCCUCGUGCUCAUCCUGGCAACAGGAACGACCAUAAAGAAGCCGUCGAGAGAUAUCGGAAGAGUUUUCUUUUCUGUUUUAUAGCCGUACUACCAUGGAAGUCUUUCGCAGAGAGAUAUGGUAGAUGGGCUAGAAGAGCAUGACAUAUACUGUUGUGUCGAUAUUUUCUCCUCGGACCUUGAAAAUUUAUGGUGGGGAUACGCAAACUUCUCAACAGGCCGUACCAAUAUCCGCAGCUGGUCUCCAAGGUGAAGAGUCUCUAGUCGAUAGAAUAAUGUAGGUAAGGGAAGUCGGCAAAUUAGAUCCGUAACUUCGGGAUAAGGAUUGGCUCUGAAGAUUGAGAUAGUCGGGCUUGAUUGGGAAACAAUAACAUGGUUUAUGUGCUCGUUCUGGGUAAAUAGAGUUUCUAUCAUUUAUGUUAGUUGCUUGUUCCCCGGAUAGUUUAGUUACGUAGCCAAUUGUGGAACUUUCUUGCUAAAAUUUUUAAGAAUACUAGUUGGGUCAAACCAAUUAGUUCUUAUUAAUUAUAACGAUUAUCAAUUAACAAUCAAUUCAGAACUGGCACGGACUUGGGGAAUCCGACUGUCUAAUUAAAACAAAGCAUUGUGAUGGCCCUAGCGGGUGUUGACACAAUGUGAUUUCUGCCCAGUGCUCUGAAUGUCAAAGUGAAGAAAUUCAAGUAAGCGCGGGUCAACGGCGGGAGUAACUAUGACUCUCUUAAGGUAGCCAAAUGCCUCGUCAUCUAAUUAGUGACGCGCAUGAAUGGAUUAACGAGAUUCCUACUGUCCCUAUCUACUAUCUAGCGAAACCACAGCCAAGGGAACGGGCUUGGAAUAAUUAGCGGGGAAAGAAGACCCUUUUGAGCUUGACUCUAAUCUGGCAGUGUAAGGAGACAUAAGAGGUGUAGAAUAAGUGGGAGAUAUUAGACUUCGGUUUGGUAUCGACAAUGAAAUACCACUACUCUUAUUGUUUCCUUACUUACUUGAUUAAAUGGAACGUGUAUCAUUUCCUAGCCAUUAUACGGAUAUAUUUAUUAUAUCUUAUGGUAUUGGGUUUUGAUGCAAGCUUCUUGAUCAAAGUAUCACGAGUUUGUUAUAUAAUCGCAAACAAAUUCUUUAAUGAGACGAUGCAUUUAUGUAUUUUUGAUUUGAAAAUUUGGUAUAACUCCAAUUACUCAGGUAUGAUCCAAUUCAAGGACAUUGCCAGGUAGGGAGUUUGACUGGGGCGGUACAUCUCUCAAAUAAUAACGGAGGUGUCCCAAGGCCAGCUCAGUGCGGACAGAAACCACACAUAGAGCAAAAGGGCAAAUGCUGACUUGAUCUCGGUGUUCAGUACACACAGGGACAGCAAAAGCUCGGCCUAUCGAUCCUUUUGGUUUAAAGAGUUUUUAACAAGAGGUGUCAGAAAAGUUACCAUAGGGAUAACUGGCUUGUGGCGGCCAAGCGUUCAUAGCGACGUCGCUUUUUGAUCCUUCGAUGUCGGCUCUUCCUAUCAUUGUGAAGCAAAAUUCACCAAGCGUUGGAUUGUUCACCCAUGCAAGGGAACGUGAGCUGGGUUUAGACCGUCGUGAGACAGGUUAGUUUUACCCUACUAAUGACAAAACGUUGUUGCGACAGCAUUCCUGCGUAGUACGAGAGGAACCGCAGGUACGGACCAAUGGCACAAUACUUGUUCGAGCGAACAGUGGUAUGACGCUACGUCCGUUGGAUUAUGCCUGAACGCCUCUAAGGUCGUAUCCGUGCUGGACUGCAAUGAUAAAUAAGGGGCAAUUUGCAUUGUAUGGCUUCUAAACCAUUUAAAGUUUGU
rnacentral:rRNA from 1 species